UGAUCUCAAAACAUCCUUCAUCAGACACGAAGGAGAGGCCAACAGAUGAGGGAAGCCAUUUUUCUGCAAUGGAAUUAAAUGGCCAAGUGGGUUUUUCCUUUGUUGCAAAUGGGGAAUGUUUUUCCUUUGACUCUACCAUCCAGUUCAGGACGUCUCAGUGUGUUUAACAUUUGUCAACAGGCCCAAGGACUCACAGUUGGAAGACUGGAGAAGACUUUUUAAAAAGAUCUGGAUUUUUCCUUAUGACUUGGAAUCCAUCUUUGUCUUGUAUAACUAGGUCAUAGCACACCAUUCAUGUCAGCAGUUAACAGUUUUGAAUUCCAAAAAAACCUAAAGCAGUAAACAGUCCUCAGCGAAGCCGCCUUUUUGCCUACCCAACCCUGGAAAGUUUGCAGAAGUGGAAGGAGCAGAACGUGAGGGUGUAACUUACAAAAAGGUUCUGGGCCGGAGAAGGGGCGACGUUCGGGCACCCCCCGAAUGGACAAUCUUUCCUUCUGUCAACGGCAGGGGCAGGCCUAGUUUGACUCUGACAGUCCUCCCACUAAGGAAUUCCUGGUGACUGGAAGGGGGAGUGACUCAGGCCCUCAACCUCUAGCAGGUAAGGGAGCUACCUCCUGGGUGGGCAUGCCCAGUUCCUCAGUGGGCCCAGCGCGGCCCAGCCUCCGAGGAAGCUCUGAGCAGCUGGCUUGGCUCCGAGGUAUUUUUAGCUACAGAUCCAGCCCCCCUCCAUCACCACAACAGUCGAGUCCAAAUCAAACGCGCUCCAGGCAGGUGGGGCUGGGGUUCUGCCAGCCUCCUGGCCAGCAGGGGUGGGUGGGCAGACUGGGGCCAGUAUCAGCUGUUCUGCCUGGACCCAGGCCGGGCUGGGAAGGCACACUUGUGCUUAUUUCCCGCCUCCACUUCUGUGCAAGCUUGUGCUGUCAUAAGCAGAGAUCACAGCCCCAUUUCUUGGAUGGAGAAAGUGGACACUGAGGUCUGAGGCUUUUGAGGACAGUCAGGAGCCCUCCUAUGGGCUCCAGUGAUGCACUCACCAGCUUCUGGUCCUCUUCUUCCACCUCUUAGAGUGCCUUGGCUCCCUCCUGUCGUCCUGGGGAACCUCGGCCCCAGCCCUGCCUCCCCAGCCAGUCACAGCUCCUCCCUGGUCACCCUGAGGGAGCUCAGGGCCCGGCUGGUAGCUGGGUUGCUCUGCUUCUGUCCCCCACUCCUGUGGAGCCUGGCAGGCAACUCCAUGAUCUGACCCCGGUUACCUUGACAGCCCUGCCUGGCCUCCCCUCUCAUGGCCCAGCCACCCCAGAACCUGAAGAGGUUUUCUAGCUGCCGUGCAUUUGCCAGGCUGGGUUACCCACCCUACUUUCCCUGCCUGCCCUCCAGUGCUGCCAGGCCUAGUGUGCCAGCCAGCGCUCAGCCUUCAGUAAAGGGUUCCCCUGCUUCCAACCUCCAUUGCACUGCUUCCCCUAAGACUGUGACCUCCUGGAAGGCUGGAGCACAACUGCCUCUCAAUAAACGUGUUGCAAAAAAGGAAUGGAUGAG
rnacentral:lncRNA from 1 species